rnacentral:misc_RNA from 1 species
GAAGAAUGUCACUUCAUUAGUUGUUCUGAAAAGUGACCCUAAAGUUAUAUUAUCCACCAGCUACGAUGGGCUGAUUAUUAAAUGGAUUCAAGGUAUUGGAUACAGUGGCAAGUUGCAAAGAAGAGAAAAUUCUCAAAUCAAAUGUUUUGCAGCUCUUGAAGAUGAACUUGUUACGUCUGGUUUUGACAAUAAGGUCUGGAGAGUUUCUAUCAAGGAUGGACAGUGUGGGGAGGCAGAGGCUAUUGAUGUUGGAAGUCAACCAAAGGACUUGACCCUCGCUUCUCUUUCUCCGGAACUUGCUUUGGUUGCAGUUGAUUCUGGAGUUGUCUUACUGCGUGGUUCAAACGUAGUGUCAACCAUCAACCUUGGCUUUACUGUGACAGCAUCUGUACUUGCGCCUGAUGGAAGUGAGGCUAUAAUAGGUGGUCAAGAUGGUAAAUUACAUAUUUAUUCCAUUGAUGGCGACUUGCUCACUGAA